rnacentral:rRNA from 1 species
AUUGAACGCUGGCGGCAGGCCUAACACAUGCAAGUCGAGCGAGCGGCGGACGGGUGAGUAAUGUAUGGGGACUGCCCGAUAGAGGGGGAUAACUACUGGAAACGGUAGCUAAUACCGCAUACUAUCGGAUAACCCAUAUGGGAGUAGCUAGUAGGUGAGGUAAUGGCUCACCUAGGCAACGAGCCCUAGCUGGUCUGAGAGGAUGAGCAGCCAGCCUGGGACUGAGACACGGCCCAGACUCCUACGGAGGCAGCAGUGGGGAGUAUUGCACAGUGGGCGCAAGCCUGCCGCAGCGCUGCCGCGUUUUUGAAGUAGGCCCUAGGGUUGUAAAGUACUUUCAUUCGGGAGGCGUUACCGCCAGAAGAAGCACCGGCUAACUCCGUGCCAGCAGCCGCGGUAAUAG